GAUGAAGAACGCAGUGAAAUGCGAUACGUAAUGUGAAUUGCAGAUUUCAGUGAAUCAUCGAAUCUUUGAACGCACAUUGCGCCCGCCAGUAUUCUGGCGGGCAUGCCUGUUCGAGCGUCAUUUCAACCAUCAAGCGCCUCGCUUGUGUUGGGGCCCUGCGGCUGCCGCAGGCUCCUAAAUCCAGUGGCGGGCUCGUCGUGGUACCGAGUGCAGUAAACAUCCUCGCUCAGGGAACCCGACGGGUGCCGGCCGUGAAACCACCCCUCUUUAAGGUUGACCUCGGAUCAGGUAGGAAUACCCGCUGAACUUAAGCAUAUCAAUAAGCGGAGGA
rnacentral:misc_RNA from 1 species